rnacentral:rRNA from 1 species
AUUGAACGCUGGCGGCAGGCUUAACACAUGCAAGUCGAGCGGGGAAGAGUAGCUUGCUACUUGACCUAGCGGCGGACGGGUGAGUAAUGCUUAGGAAUCUGCCUAUUAGUGGGGGACAACAUCUCGAAAGGGAUGCUAAUACCGCAUACGUCCUACGGGAGAAAGCAGGGGACCUUCGGGCCUUGCGCUAAUAGAUGAGCCUAAGUCGGAUUAGCUAGUUGGUGGGGUAAAGGCCUACCAAGGCGACGAUCUGUAGCGGGUCUGAGAGGAUGAUCCGCCACACUGGGACUGAGACACGGCCCAGACUCCUACGGGAGGCAGCAGUGGGGAAUAUUGGACAAUGGGGGGAACCCUGAUCCAGCCAUGCCGCGUGUGUGAAGAAGGCCUUUUGGUUGUAAAGCACUUUAAGCGAGGAGGAGGCUACCGAGAUUAAUACUCUUGGAUAGUGGACGUUACUCGCAGAAUAAGCACCGGCUAACUCUGUG